rnacentral:tRNA from 1 species
GGGGCUGUGGCUCAGUGGUGGAGCGCUUGCCUAGCGUGCAUGAGGCACUGGGUUCAACCCCCCACCCCCU